CAGGCGCAGAGCUACUAAUGAGCAUGCUGGAGAGAGUGUCCGAACCAGUGCUGGCUAUAGACAAUCCACCUGUCUGCUCUCCGAUGCAGGAUUCCUUGGUCAGCUCUGGGUGUUAUGUCAAUGAGAUGCUGAGUGACUUACCUUGGCUGCUGUGCAGAGCCAGAGGGAGGACCAUUUCUAGUGCAGGAAGCCAGAUCCGAUGCUGAACCCACAUUAAACACUGGGAAUUACUUCUGACCAUUCAACCCACAGUCCUACGCUUGAGCCCAUGCCUGGUCCCAUUUCAGUUAGCGCAGACAAAGCACGAAGACAGAAAUGCAAACCUCCUUAUUUCUACUUGGAAUAAAGCAUGACUGAAAAUGCUGGGCCAUAGAUAGUAAGAUAGUAACAUAAUAGGCUAUAGAGAGUAACAUAAUCCACAGCAGU